AUGGAAGGCAGCAGUGGGAAUAUUGGGCAAUGGGCGAAAGCCUGACCCAGCGACGCCGCGUGAAGGAAGACGGUCUUCGGAUUGUAAACUUCUUUUAUAGGGGACGAUAAUGACGGUACCCUAUGAAUAAGCCACGGCUAACUACGUGCCAGCAGCCGCGGUAAUACGUAGGUGGCGAGCGUUAUCCGGAUUUACUGGGUGUAAAGGGUGUGUAGGCGGGAUGGCAAGUCAGAUGUGAAAAUUAUGGGCUCAACUCAUAACUUGCAUUUGAAACUGUUGUUCUUGAUGGUCGGAGAGGUAACUGGAACUCCUGGUGUAGCGGUGAAAUGCGCAGAUAUCAGGAAGAACACCGGUGGCGAAGGCGGGUUACUGGACGAUACAUGACGCUGAGACACGAAAGUGUGGGGAGCAAACAGGAUUAGAUACCCUGGUA
rnacentral:rRNA from 1 species